CAUAGGUUAAUGAGGCGAACCGGGGGAACUGAAACAUCUAAGUACCCCGAGGAAAAGAAAUCAACCGAGAUUCCCCCAGUAGCGGCGAGCGAACGGGGAGGAGCCCAGAGCCUGAAUCAGUGUGUGUGUUAGUGGAAGCGUCUGGAAAGGCGCGCGAUACAGGGUGACAGCCCCGUACACAAAAAUGCACAUAUUGUGAGCUCGAUGAGUAGGGCGGGACACGUGGUAUCCUGUCUGAAUAUGGGGGGACCAUCCUCCAAGGCUAAAUACUCCUGACUGACCGAUAGUGAACCAGUACCGUGAGGGAAAGGCGAAAAGAACCCCGGCGAGGGGAGUGAAAAAGAACCUGAAACCGUGUACGUACAAGCAGUGGGAGCCUCUUAAUGGGGUGACUGCGUACCUUUUGUAUAAUGGGUCAGCGACUUAUAUUCUGUAGCAAGGUUAACCGAAUAGGGGAGCCGAAGGGAAACCGAGUCUUAACUGGGCGUUAAGUUGCAGGGUAUAGACCCGAAACCCGGUGAUCUAGCCAUGGGCAGGUUGAAGGUUGGGUAACACUAACUGGAGGACCGAACCGACUAAUGUUGAAAAAUUAGCGGAUGACUUGUGGCUGGGGGUGAAAGGCCAAUCAAACCGGGAGAUAGCUGGUUCUCCCCGAAAGCUAUUUAGGUAGCGCCUCGUGAAUUCAUCUCCGGGGGUAGAGCACUGUUUCGGCAAGGGGGUCAUCCCGACUUACCAACCCGAUGCAAACUGCGAAUACCGGAGAAUGUUAUCACGGGAGACACACGGCGGGUGCUAACGUCCGUCGUGAAGAGGGAAACAACCCAGACCGCCAGCUAAGGUCCCAAAGUCAUGGUUAAGUGGGAAACGAUGUGGGAAGGCCCAGACAGCCAGGAUGUUGGCUUAGAAGCAGCCAUCAUUUAAAGAAAGCGUAAUAGCUCACUGGUCGAGUCGGCCUGCGCGGAAGAUGUAA
rnacentral:rRNA from 1 species